CUCCUGUUCUGCAACUGUCCCCACAGGAAGGGGCUCUGUUCCCUGUAUUGUCCUCCUUCUGAAGCCCCUUGGCUCUGCCUUGGCCCUUCCCCUCACCACGAGCUCCCGGCCUGCCCAGACUGUGGACACUGGCCGUGCCCAAUGAGACGUUCUAAACCAGGACGCGUGGGAACCCUUAUUUCCAAAGGAAAAACAUGCAUUUCACUCCGUCGAGGAGCAAAUUGCCUGAGGCAAAAUCUUCAACUUGGCAGUUCGGCUUCCUUUGUCUUUUCCCUUGGAGAGCUCGGAGAGGGGACUCCAGAGGAGGGAGCUGUGGUCUCUCAGAGCGAUCCACACUGGGACCAAGAACUAAUAGGAACUCAGGGGUUGCGAUGUUGUGCAGAUUAAGAUUGGAGCUAGCUCAGUACAUGUGUUUAAGCCCCACAGGGCCCUGAAGAGCAUCCGGCCUGAAGAGACAGGCAAGUCCGCCUCAAGCAUGUAAAGGACAGCAUGUGCUUUCACUCACCCUCGAAAGGACACAGCUGGGAUUGCUGUUCUGUUCAGGAGUGGCGAGGCUCGUUUUGAGCUAUCCAUUCCCCUGCUCUGUUCCCUUUGUCACCAGCCACCUGUGUCUGCCAGCAAACAGCUUUUCCUUAGAGCCAGUCAACCCUCAAAUGGCUGAAAAAGUAAAAAGCCCACAGAUCUCAGAUGGAUCCAGGUUCUCUGCCCUUUCCCUCUUCUUUGUUAACAAGCAGGGGCCUUUCCUAUCCCUACGGAAGUCGUUUGGGCAAUACUAGACCACCAGCUGAAUCUACCUUGACACAGAAGCCUCUUCCUCAGCCCCUCAGCUCUGCAUCUCAUCACCGCACUGGCAGCAGGUGGAAGACAUGAGGUGUAUUUAUUCCUCAUGCGUGGACUGCAUGACUAGAAAACUGCCUUGCUGCAUUCUGAAUAAGGGGAUUGGUGGAGAGAAGGGGAAUAUUAACAAAGUGACCUCUUUUUGCCACGUUUCCCUUGGCUUUGCUCUCAGGCACAAAGAAUGAUCCUUUCCUGGGAGCUGAUUUCAAGCCAUGUGCUUUAUGCUUCCAGUACAGAAACUGACCUGACUCCCCAGCAUCAUUUGGAAAUGAAGGUGCCAGCCCCAAGUUGGGCAGGAUGAGCAUUUCCCAUGUAGGAUUUCCCUUCUCCAGUGAGAUGGGGGUUCAAAAGUUAUGUCUGAUCAUCUCUGCCUCCCUUGGGAUGGCUAAGAGCGAGAGAAUGUAUUCUGCCUAGCUGAGUGAUGGCACAAGGAAAGCACAGAAAGACUUGUGGGCAAAUUAACCCUCCUCUGGCUUUAACCUAUCCAUUAUUUGAGAGUUGCAGGGGAACUGUUGAAGGUGUGAUGCAGUCUAAGCUCACCCUAGGCAAGAGGCUCCCACAGACACCUGAUCCUGAUGGGCCCUUGAUGAAAAUCUGGGUGCAGCUCAAGGGUAGGGGCCCCACAUGUGUAGUUCCUCCUCUGUCCUCUACUGUCCCCAGCGUCAUGUGCACCAAAGCCCAUCCCUCAUGCCCUUCCUCUCUGUCCAGCUGACACUUGGCAUUGUGCUCAUUAUCCCACAGCCUAGGAUUCCAUGCCUGGAAGAAAGAGGGACUGGGCAGGAUUUCCCUCCCAAAGGCAAAUCCAGGCAUUAUAUGUACUUUUUUUUUUUUCUUUAACAAAACCAGCAAAUGGGUCUUCCUUGCCCUUCCUUCAGACCACCCAGUCCAUUUUUACAAUCAUCUUUCUGGCCGGGCACAGUGGCUCAUGCCUGUAAUCCCAGCACUUUGGGAGGCCGAGGCGGGUGAAUCACUUGAGGUCAGGAGUUCAAAACCAGCCUGGCCAACAUAGUGAAACCCUGUCUCUACUAAAAAAUAUAAUAAUUAGCCGGGCGUGGUGGCGCAUGCCUGUAGUCCCAGCUACUUGGGAGGUUGAGGCAGGCAGGAGAAUUGGUUGAACCCAGUAGGCAGAGGUUGCAGUGAGCCGAGAUCGUGCCACUGCACUCCAGCCUGGGUGACAGAGCAAGACUCUGUC
rnacentral:lncRNA from 10 species